AUUGAACGCUGGCGGCAUGCCUUACACAUGCAAGUCGAACGGCAGCACGGACUUCGGUCUGGUGGCGAGUGGCGAACGGGUGAGUAAUACAUCGGAACGUGCCUAGUAGUGGGGGAUAACUACUCGAAAGAGUGGCUAAUACCGCAUGAGAUCUACGGAUGAAAGCAGGGGAUCGCAAGACCUUGUGCUACUAGAGCGGCUGAUGGCAGAUUAGGUAGUUGGUGGGAUAAAAGCUUACCAAGCCGACGAUCUGUAGCUGGUCUGAGAGGACGAUCAGCCACACUGGGACUGAGACACGGCCCAGACUCCUACGGGAGGCAGCAGUGGGGAAUUUUGGACAAUGGGCGCAAGCCUGAUCCAGCAAUGCCGCGUGCAGGAUGAAGGCCUUCGGGUUGUAAACUGCUUUUGUACGGAACGAAAAGCUUCGGGCUAAUACCCUGAAGUCAUGACGGUACCGUAAGAAUAAGCACCGGCUAACUACGUGCCAGCAGCCGCCGUAAUAC
rnacentral:rRNA from 1 species